UACGUAGGGUGCGAGCGUUGUCCGGAAUUAUUGGGCGUAAAGGGCUCGUAGGCGGUCUGUCGCGUCGGUAGUGAAAACUCAGGGCUUAACCCCGAGCCUGCAGUGGAUACGGGCAGACUAGAGGUAGGUAGGGGAGAAUGGAAUUCCCGGUGUAGCGGUGAAAUGCGCAGAUAUCAGGAGGAACACCGGUGGCGAAGGCGGGUCUCUGGGCCGAUACUGACGCUGAGGAGCGAAAGCGUGGGGAGCGAACAGG
rnacentral:rRNA from 1 species